rnacentral:tRNA from 1 species
GCGAGAUAUAUGCUCGAAAAGAGCAAUGUUUUACAGCUAUGACCUUGUUUAAUCACUAAUGCGUCCAGCUUCCCAAGCUGAACGCGCGGGUUCGAUUCCCGCUACCCGCUCCA